rnacentral:lncRNA from 1 species
GUCCUCUUGAGUAGUGAUGAUGGUUGGUAUGAUCUGAAAUCAGUUCUUGGAACAUUCGGCUGAAGAAGCACAUGGAUUACAUCUGAAUGAUUAAAUCGAUUUCACCUUAUACUUUUUUUCUGGGCCUUAGAAAAGACAAUUAGAAUUAGGUUUGAAGAUGAUUUCCUACUGAAUCAUCUCAAUUCUCCUUUUUAGUGUGCUUCUGUUGUCUUUAUGAUCCAUUUGUCUUGGUGCUAAAUGGCAUCAUGCCUGUGAUUAUCAGCAAUUUAAAAAAAAAAAAAUUCAUUUCCAGCAUUUAUGGUUUCCUGUGGUGGGUGCUAUCCUAUAUAUUCUAUUAAGUUUACAGAUGGCUUUAGUAUCG